GGUUGACCUCAUAUCAGGUAGGAAUACACGCUGAACUUAAGCAUAUCAAUA
rnacentral:rRNA from 1 species